rnacentral:rRNA from 1 species
UUAACUGAAGAGUUUGAUCAUGGCUCAGAUUGAACGCUGGCGGCAGGCCUAAGACAUGCAAGUCGAACGGUAACGACACUAGCUUGCUAGUGGUCGACGAGUGGCGGACGGGUGAGUAACGCGUAGGAAUCU